UCCUACGGGAGGCAGCAGUGGGGAAUAUUGCACAAUGGGCGAAAGCCUGAUGCAGCCAUGCCGCGUGAGUGAUGAAGGCCUUAGGGUUGUAAAGCUCUUUCACCGGUGAAGAUAAUGACGGUAGCCGGAGAAGAAGCCCCGGCUAACUCCGUGCCAGCAGCCGCGGUAAUACGGAGGGGGCUAGCGUUGUUCGGAAUUACUGGGCGUAAAGCGCGCGUAGGCGGGCUAGUAAGUUGGGGGUGAAAUCCCGAGGCUUAAACUCGGAACUGCCUCCAAAACUGCUAGUCUUGAGAUCGAGAGAGGUAAGUGGAAUUCCUAGUGUAGAGGUGAAAUUCGUAGAUAUUAGGAAGAACACCAGUGGCGAAGGCGGCUUACUGGCUCGAUACUGACGCUGAGGCGCGAAAGCGUGGGGAGCAAACAGGAUUAGAUACCCCGGUAGUCCAAGCCG
rnacentral:rRNA from 1 species